GUCUUGGUAGCUCAGUUGGUAGAGCAUGAGACUCUUAAUCUUCGGAUCAUGGGUUUGAGUGGGUGGCGCUGUGGGUUAAACCACAGAGCCUAGGACU